rnacentral:lncRNA from 1 species
GUGGCAAGCGGCGGGAUUUCCUCCCGAACGGACGUACCGAAUUGAAACAAGUGGUGAAUGGCGCAUAGAUACGAACGCUUGAAACGAACCACAUUAAAGGAACUGCUGGAAGUUCGAGGCAUAGUGGCAAGCAACAAACCGAAAGCCAUGUUAAUAGCCGAACUACUGGAGAGCGAUCAAACCGGCGAACCACAAAUGGCGAAUGCAGAGGAAACAGAGUUCCAGAGGGAUGUGAGAUGGAG